rnacentral:rRNA from 1 species
UACGGGGGGAGCAAGCGUUGUUCGGAUUUACUGGGCGUAAAGGGCGCGUAGGCGGCCACCGCAAGUCAAUUGUGAAAUCUCCGGGCUUAACUCGGAAAGGUCAACUGAUACUGCGGGGCUAGAGUGCGGAAGGGGCAACUGGAAUUCUCGGUGUAGCGGUGAAAUGCGUAGAUAUCGAGAGGAACACCAGUGGCGAAGGCGAGUCCCUGGACAGAUCCUGACGCUGAGGCACGAAAGCUAGGGGAGCAAACAGG